rnacentral:rRNA from 1 species
UACGGAGGAUCCAAGCGUUAUCCGGAAUCAUUGGGUUUAAAGGGUCCGUAGGUGGACGGUUAAGUCAGAGGUGAAAUCCUGCAGCUCAACUGUAGAAUUGCCUUUGAUACUGGUCGUCUUGAGUCAUUGUGAAGUGGUUGGAAUAUGUAGUGUAGCGGUGAAAUGCAUAGAUAUUACAUAGAACACCGAUUGCGAAGGCAGAUCACUAACAAUGUACUGACACUGAUGGACGAAAGCGUGGGGAGCGAACAGG